rnacentral:rRNA from 1 species
CCUACGGGAGGCAGCAGUGAGGAAUAUUGGUCAAUGGGCGCGAGCCUGAACCAGCCAAGUAGCGUGAAGGAUGAAUGCCCUACGGGUUGUAAACUUCUUUUGUAAAGGAAUAAAGUGAGGCACGUGUGCCUUUUUGUAUGUACUUUAUGAAUAAGGAUCGGCUAACUCCGUGCCAGCAGCCGCGGUAAUACGGAGGAUCCGAGCGUUAUCCGGAUUUAUUGGGGUUAAAGGGAGCGUAGAUGGGGUGUUAAGUCAGUUGUGAAAGUUUGCGGCUCAACCGUAAAAUUGCAAUUGAUACUGGCAGCCUUGAGUACAGUAGAGGGAGGCGGAAUUCGUGGUGUAGCGGUGAAAUGCUUAGAUAUCACGAAGAACUCCGAUUGCGAAGGCAGCUUACUAAACUGCCACUGACAUUGAUGCUCGAAAGUGUGGGUAUCAAACAGGAUUAGAUACCCGUGUAGUC